AAUUUUUGACCAUGGGCGAAACCCUGAUCCAGCCAUCCCGCGUGUAUGAUGAAGGCCUUCGGGUUGUAAAGUACUUCUGGCAGAGAAGAAAAGGUAUCUCCUAAUACUAGAUACUGCUGACGGUAUCUGCAGAAUAAGCACCGGCUAACUACGUGCCAGCAGCCGCGGUAAUACGUAGGGUGCAAGCGUUAAGCGGAAUUACUGGGCGUAAAGCAUGUGUAGGCGGUUCGGAAAGAAAGAUGUGAGAUCCCAGGGCUCAACCUUGCAACUGCAUUCUUAACAGCCGAGCUAGAGUAUGUAAGAGGGGGGUAGAAUUCCACGUGUAGCAGUGAAAUGCGUAGAUAUGUGAAGGAAUACCGAUGGAGAAGGCAGCCCCCUGGGAUAAUACUGACGCUCAGACACGAAAGCGUGGGGAGCAAAC
rnacentral:rRNA from 1 species